GUGACUAUAGCUCAGUUGGUUAGAGCGCCGGAUUGUGGUUCCGGAGGUCGUGGGUUCGAACCCCAUUAGUCACCCUA
rnacentral:tRNA from 1 species